GUGGCCUUAAAGAAGACGUUCCCGAAGGCAAAGGCAUCGGUUUUCCAGAACAAUUAAACAAUUUCCCCUGCCUCGAGAAACGAAACAGCGUAAUGUAUUGUAGGAGAUUGUAGGGACCUCCUCUCCCUCAUCUCCCGGUGUGCCAGAGGAAGCCAAAGGGCCAGCAACGUGUUCUGCCAACUCGUGUUCUCAUUCUCCUUGAGACAUGAAGUCUAUAAUUAUAAUGUGGAAUACAAGGGUGGAUCUAUAUUUGUUAGCUUUCUUGGACGAUCCCGUCCAUGGUCGAGUUCGCAAGCUCCUCCGAUCUCAAGUUGACUUUCUUGGGCGCAGUUAUCCUGCCAAACAUGAAAAGGGA
rnacentral:sRNA from 2 species